GAGCUUGCUCCUUCAAGUUAGUGGCGGACGGGUGAGUAACACGUGAGCAACCUGCCUUUAAGAGAGGGAUAGCUUCUGGAAACGGAUGGUAAUACCUCAUAAUAUAGCGUUACCGCAUGAUAAUGCUAUCAAAGAUUUAUCGCUUAAAGAUGGGCUCGCGUCUGAUUAGAUAGUUGGUGAGGUAACGGCUCACCAAGUCGACGAUCAGUAGCCGGACUGAGAGGUUGAACGGCCACAUUGGGACUGAGACACGGCCCAGACUCCUACGGGAGGCAGCAGUGGGGAAUAUUGCACAAUGGGGGAAACCCUGAUGCAGCGAUGCCGCGUGGAGGAAGAAGGUUUUCGGAUUGUAAACUCCUUUUGUCAGGGAAGAUAAUGACUGUACCUGACGAAUAAGCUCCGGCUAACUACGUGCCAGCAGCCGCGGUAAUACGUAGGGAGCGAGCGUUGUCCGGAAUUACUGGGUGUAAAGGGAGCGUAGGCGGGAUGGUAAGUCAGGUGUGAAAUCUAUGGGCUCAACUCAUAAACUGCAUUUGAAACUGUACUUCUUGAGUGCUGGAGAGGUAGAUGGAAUUCCUUGUGUAGCGGUGAAAUGCGUAGAUAUAAGGAAGAACACCAGUGGCGAAGG
rnacentral:rRNA from 1 species